AGUGAACGCUGGCGGUAGGCCUAACACAUGCAAGUCGAACGGCAGCGCAGUAAGAGCUUGCUCUUACGGGUGGCGAGUGGCGGGCGGGUGAGGAAUACAUCGUAAUCUACUUUUUCGUGGGGGAUAACGUAGGGAAACUUACUCUAAUACCGCAGACGACCUACGGGUGAGAGCAGGGGAUCUUCGGAGCUUGCGCGGUUGAAUGAGCCGAUGUCGGAUUAGCUAGUUGGCGGGGUAAAGGCCCACCAAGGCGACGAUCCGUAGCUGGUCUGAGAGGAUGAUCAGCCACACUGGAACUGAGACACGGUCCAGACUCCUACGGGAGGCAGCAGUGGGGAAUAUUGGACAAUGGGCGCAAGCCUGACCCAGCCAUACCGCGUGGGUGAAGAAGGCCUUCGGGUCGUAAAGCCCUUUUGUUGGGAAAGAACAGCAGCAGGUUAAUACGCCGCUGUUCUGACGGUACCCAAAGAAUAAGCACCGGCUAACUUCGUG
rnacentral:rRNA from 1 species